rnacentral:rRNA from 1 species
UACGUAGGUGGCAAGCGUUAUCCGGAUUUACUGGGUGUAAAGGGGGCGCAGACGGCGAUGCAAGCCAGGAGUGAAAGCCCGGGGCCCAACCCCGGGACUGCUCUUGGAACUGCGUGGCUGGGGUGCAGGAGGGGCAGGCGGAAUUCCUGGUGUAGCGGUGAAAUGCGUAGAUAUCAGGAGGAACACCGGUGGCGAAGGCGGCCUGCUGGACUGCAACUGACGUUGAGGCCCGAAAGCGUGGGGAGCAAACAGG